GUAGACAUAGUUUAAAAAAAAAACACUAGAUUGUGAUUCUAGAAAUAGAAGUUAAACCCUUCUUGCCCACC
rnacentral:tRNA from 1 species